UACGGAGGGAGCUAGCGUUGUUCGGAAUUACUGGGCGUAAAGCGCGCGUAGGCGGCUUGGCAAGUCGGGUGUGAAAGCCCUCAGCUCAACUGAGGAAGUGCGCCCGAAACUGCUUUGCUUGAGUGCUGGAGAGGGUCGCGGAAUUCCCCAAGUAGAGGUGAAAUUCGUAGAUAUGGGGAGGAACACCGGUGGCGAAGGCGGCUCUCUGGGACGGUACUGACGCUGAGACGCGAAAGCGUGGGGAGCGAACAGG
rnacentral:rRNA from 1 species